GGAAGGAUCAUUAAUCACGUUCUUGUAACGUUAUUUUCUAACAACAAUUGUGCAUGCAUGUUUUCUCUUCUCCCUUUUUCCUCUCUUUUGAGUGGGUAAAAAGGCAUACUCAGCUUCUUCUGUGCUUCAACACAUAGAAGGAGUGUUCGAGUCUCUCUCCUUGUGAGGGACGAUUCGACUGAUUUCCAUAUACACACCUUCUUCACCUCCACUUUUGCUAGUUGAUUUUUUACGUUCAACUCUGUAUGUCCUUGAUUGGAUAUAUCCAGUUGUUCUGUUAUUAUUUAUUAUAACAUUAAUUAUACAACUCUUAGCAAUGGAUAUCUAGGUUCUCGCAACGAUGAAGAACGCAGCGAAAUGCGAUACGUAAUGCGAAUUGCAGAAUUCAGUGAAUCAUCAAAUCUUUGAACGCAAAUUGCGCUCUUGGGAUAGACCUAGGAGCACGCCUCUCUCAGUAUCGGUUCAUACUCUAACUCAGUCACCUUUGGUUUUAACUAUAAGUAGACUGGACAAUGAGAGUCUUCUAGUCUUGAUCUAGAAGUCUCUUUAAAUACAUGGAAACGAGAUGUGUUGAAUAUAAGUGAUCUAUAUUAUCUAUAUAGAUCCAACUUCAGAAAUGAUGACCUUCAUAGGUCAGGUAACUCGGUACGAAGUAUAAGUAAAUCUUACUAUGUAUGACUAACGCUUCUACGUGAAUAUUGACCUCAUGGUCUUCUCUUACGUAUGAAGUAUUGGUACUUACAGGUGUGCUGCACUUAUACAUAUAUUCGUUCUAGGAUAUACCGUUUGUUUCUGGAAGGUAAAAACACUUUCACUUCGUUGUGUCGUGAUAGCUGUCGAUAGCAUGUCACCAUGAACUUGCUUACAUUUGUAAGUCGUUCUGUUCUUUAUGUUUUAUGAUCUGAGAUGAAGCGAGACAACCCCCUGAAUUUAAGCAUAUUAAUAAGGGGAGGAAAAGAAAAUAACAAUAAUGCCCUUAGUAACGGCGAGUGAAGUGGGCACAGCUCAAUCUGAAAAUCGAUUACCUAAAUGGGUCAUCGAGUUGUAUCCUAUAGACGUACUAUCAGCUAUAACCUGGGUAUAAGUUCUUUGGAAUGAGGCCAAAUAUAGGGUGAGAUGCCCGUAUAUGACUCAAAGUGUAUAUAGCGUACGAUGUAUGUUCUUCGAGUCGAGUUGUUUGGGAUUGCAGCUCUAAAUGGGUGGUAAGAAUCAUCUAAAGCUAAAUAUUAGCGAGAGACCGAUAGCGAACAAGUACCGUGAGGGAAAGAUGAAAAGAACUUUGGAAAGAGAGUCAAAUAGUACUUGAAAUUGCUAAGAGGGAAGCGAUGAAAACUAGUGAACAUAGGGGAUUAAUCGUUCAUUGCCGCUCUAAAUCUGCUGUCUAGUUGGUUAACUCUAGUAGGUAGAUUGAAAGGUAGGUAACGGAUUUAUAAUUCUCUAUACGUCAAGAUCAAUUUGAUUCGUGGGAGAAGAUAGUAAGAAAGGUAGGAGCUUGUUCUCUGUUAAGUCUUAUUAUUCUACCUCGUAUUGGAUUGAGGAAGUAAUAGUGCGCUGCUUGCGGCUUAAUUCUCUGCUGCUAUACUUUGCACGGUUUAGAUAGCAAUGCUAUGUAGGCUGAAACAACGGUAUACUCAGUAGGUGAAUUUUAUGUGCUAUCACGAUCUUGUACAAAAUAGUUUUCAUCGACCCGUCUUGAAACACGGACCAAGGAGUAACAAAUAAAUGAAGUAAGCUCCUUCAAAGCUUUGAAUACAAAGCUGUUUGAUUCUGUUAAAAUGAAUCAACAAUACCAUCGAAUUGUGGGGAUGAUUCAUAUGGACAAUAUACACUUACACUGAACUGUUCAGUCUAUUCCUCUGAAAAUAGGAAGUCCUUGUAUAUUCAUGCGUUCUAAUCUAAUCCACAGCUAACCUGAUACUCUGUGUCUGGGAAGUUUAGAGACUAAGUGGUGGUAGUGUCAUAUAAUGACAUUAAGAUAUAGUCCUCCUUUGAUAUGUCUAAUUUAAAUAAAUUAAAUUAAAUGUGUGUACAAGGAGUCUAACAUCUAUGCAAGUAUUUGAGUGAUUAAAACUCUGAUGCGUAAUGAAAGUAAAGGUAGACUUGUUCUACUAAGGUAGGAAACUUUGUAACAGGAGUGGCACUAUCGACCGAUCAUCACUUGUGAAAGAUUUGAGUAAGAGCAUAUCUGUUGGGACCCGAAAGAUGGUGAUCUAUGCCUGAACAGGGUGAAGCCAGGAGAAAUUCUGGUGGAGGCUCGUAGCGAUACUGACGUGCAAAUCGUUCGUCUGAUUUGGGUAUAGGGGCGAAAGACUAAUCGAACCAUCUAGUAGCUGGUUCCCUC
rnacentral:misc_RNA from 1 species